rnacentral:rRNA from 1 species
AUUGAACGCUGGCGGCAUGCCUUACACAUGCAAGUCGAACGGCAGCAUGAUCUAGCUUGCUCGAUUGAUGGCGAGUGGCGAACGGGUGAGUAAUACAUCGGAACGUGCCCUGUAGUGGGGGAUAACUAGUCGAAAGAUUAGCUAAUACCGCAUACGACCUGAGGGUGAAAGUGGGGGACCGCAAGGCCUCAUGCUAUAGGAGCGGCCGAUGUCUGAUUAGCUAGUUGGUGAGGUAAAGGCUCACCAAGGCGACGAUCAGUAGCUGGUCUGAGAGGACGAUCAGCCACACUGGGACUGAGACACGGCCCAGACUCCUACGGGAGGCAGCAGUGGGGAAUUUUGGACAAUGGGCGAAAGCCUGAUCUAGCAAUGCCGCGUGUGUGAAGAAGGCCUUCGGGUUGUAAAGCACUUUUGUCCGGAAAGAAAUGGCUCUGGUUAAUACCUGGGGUCGAUGACGGUACCGGAAGAAUAAGGACCGGCUAACUACGUG